UGACUAGUUUAGGCAGCUCGGUGCUUAAUGUGCUGGUUUUGUGGAUCCUAAUCUAAUGCAUCUAUCUCUCCCUAUUCAUUGUAUAGGAGCCUAGGCUUUGUGGAUUGGCAUGUUGUUCCUGUGAUUUUCUAGGUCCCUGAAAGUUAGGCAUCAUGAUGCUCAGCAUUGCAAUGCCUGAGUCCUCUCAUGGAUCUCAUCCUUUGCUUCUGUUAUUGCUGCUGCUUCUUAACCUGCUUCCUCUUCCCCUGCUGAUCAGUGCUCCCUUUGGCACUCUCAUUGAAGGAGGAGGAAGAGUCGUUGUUUCAGCAAGAUGCCCUGCCCAUCUUGACCAGUUCCCAAAAAAUGUAAUCAGAGCCCUUGUAAGCUGAGCGCCUGUCAUCUCUGCCUGACAGCAUGGAUGGAUCCUGAACUGCUGACCAGUCUAGUGAUGAGCAUUAUGAACACAAUACAGUGUCUUCAAUGACUGAGGCACUCUGCUGGUGUGGAGGAGAACAUCUGCAGAAGUCAAAAAAACAAUGAACAGAGAUAGAAUUGUGAGU